GUGUUCACUUUGGCAGCACAUAUACUAAAACUGGAAUGAUACAGAGAAAAUUAGCAUGGCCCCCGUGCAAGGAUGACAUGCAAAUUCGUGAAGCGGUCCACAUUUAA
rnacentral:snRNA from 1 species